rnacentral:rRNA from 1 species
GAUGAACGCUGGCGGCGUGCCUAAUACAUGCAAGUCGAACGAAGCGGGGACGGGUGAGUAACACGUGGAUAACCUCCUAUAAGACUGGGAUAACCUCGGGAAACCGGAGCUAAACCGGAACCUUAUCGAUGGAUCCGCGACGCAUUAGCUAGUUGGUAAGGUAACGGCUUACGAAGGCGACGAUGCGUAGCCGACCUGAGAGUGUUAUCGGCCACACUGGAACUGUGACACGGUCCAGACUCCUACGGGGGGCAGCAGGAGGGAAUCUUCCGCAAUGGGCGAAAGCCUGACGGAGCAAUGCCGCGUGAGUGAAGAAGGUCUUCGGAUCGUAAAACUCUGGUAGUAGGGAAGCGGUACCUAAUCAGAAAGCCCCGGCUAACUACGUGCCAGCAGCCGCGGUAAUAC